rnacentral:rRNA from 1 species
UACGUAGGGUGCAAGCGUUAACCGGAAUUACUGGGCGUAAAGCGUGCGCAGGCGGUGAUGUAAGACAGUUGUGAAAUCCCCGGGCUCAACCUGGGAACUGCAUCUGUGACUGCAUUGCUGGAGUGCGGCAGAGGGGGAUGGAAUUCCGCGUGUAGCAGUGAAAUGCGUAGAUAUGCGGAGGAACACCGAUGGCGAAGGCAAUCCCCUGGGCCUGCACUGACGCUCAUGCACGAAAGCGUGGGGAGCAAACAGG